UAGCAGCAGCAGCAGCAGCAAAAGUAACAGCAGCAGCAAAAGUAACAGCAGCAGCAGCACCACCACCAACAGUAGUAAAACAACUUUUGGGUGAUUUCUUAUCCAUUUAGAAUAUAAUUUAAGCAUUAACUGAAAUUGCUGUUUGUAUUGGUCAGUUUCCAGCCAUCCAAUAUGUGUUGGUGCAACAGUUCAUUUUUCCUUAUGUGGGAAAUUAAUCACCAGUUCUUGGGAGCCUGUUGAUCUCUAUAAGAAUGACAGUUCUCAACUGCUCUAGGUCUUUGACACAUGCCACUGACUACACACAACUCAUUUCUAGCAAUGAUGUAUCUGACACCAGGCAGUCUACGCUUUCAUCUCUACCAGAAGCCUGCCUACAUUAUUCCUGUAUGAACAUCACAUGAACAACAGACCAAUGGCCACCUGUACACAACACUGAACAGUAUGUCAUCUAUGUCUAUUAGAUCAACAGUCCAGCCUGACUACAAAGUUUCUCACACAUCUUUGUUGUAACCUGUUAUGUUAUUUUAUUUCAUGUAUGGCAAUCAUUGUAUUUUAUAAUGGAGAAUAAAUUGUCGUUUACCAGUUCA